AACAAUAUAUGUACAUUUGGUGUCUGCGCUGCAAGCGCGGAUGAAAAGGGAAGCAGGUGUGAUUCCUGCACGGUCCCGCCGCUGUAAUGGAUGAGUUUUGGCAAAUAGCCACCUGAAAGGGGAAGGCUGCCGGAACGAUGAAACUAAGUCAGAAGACCUGCCAAAGGGAGUAGCGCCGA
rnacentral:ncRNA from 2 species